AUUCCAGAGCUGUGCCUUACAGAAACAGAAGCGAUAGCAUGAGUUGCAGAUUGACCCACGGUCUCCCAGACAUUUGCCAAGCAUAGUGUGCAAUGAUGCAGUUCUGAGUUUUUCUUCAGUCUUUUUUUUUGCUCAUCAGAACAGUAGCUAUAUGUUUGGACAUUUUCUUCUUGAUUUUAUAUUUCUUUCCUGUUCAUGGUGUAUUUAACGAGGUUAUAAGAGAGCAAGAGAGAGUGCUAGUGUGUGUGUGCGCGUGUGUGUGCGGGCAUUUGAGUGCAUACAUGUUGAAUAGAGAAAUGGGAGUGUGUUGCCUGUCUGGAAACACAAACAUAGCACAGUGUGGCAAAAAAAAGGCUCUAUUUUUAGUGAACAAUCACUAAACAGAAUAGACAUUUUAUUGGCGGAUUUCAACCAAGAAUUGUCAGCUGUGGAUUUUAGGCCCGAGCUGUUCUAGGAGUGGAUUUGGCGGCUUCCAUAUGGUAACUAUAUAACAGGAGGAGGAACGUAAACAGCGAGAGCAUUGGAAACGCAUCAUGGAAGAAAACAAGCGCAAGAUUGAAAGAGCUCAGAUGAAACUAGCAGAGCAACAACUCCAGAUGGUGGAAGAGCAGCGCAAGAUGGAUGAGGAACGGCAGAGGAUCAAAAGGGAACAGGAAAAGCGUACACGUGGAGGAGGAGC